rnacentral:lncRNA from 1 species
UUCAUUUUCCAAACACAACUUACCUUAUUAACUCACUCCAAAAAGGUCUCCAUGACAUCCUGGUACGUGCCACCUGAAUUCCUAUACUCUCCACUUGCUUGUUGAUGAUGGUGAUCCAUUGAAGUAGAGGAUGAAGAUGAAACCACUUUGGCAGGUAGAGUGAAGCACCUCUUGAACUUGUCCACUUUCCUUGUCCCUUCAGAUUGGCCAUCCAAGCUCAAGAACUCAUUUGGGUUUGCCACACUAGCAUUCUGCACUGCUGAGGUUGG